rnacentral:rRNA from 1 species
CUUGUACACACCGCCCGUCACACCAUGGGAGUGGGUUCCACCAGAAGUAGUUAGCCUAACCGCAAGGAGGGCGAUUACCACGGUGAGGUUCAUGACUGGGGUGAAGUCGUAAACAAGGUACC